GACGAACGCUGGCGGCGUGCCUAAUACAUGCAAGUUGAGCGCUGAAGGUUGGUACUUGUACCAACUGGAUGAGCAGCGCACGGGUGAGUAACGCGUGGGGAAUCUGCCUUUGAGCGGGGGACAACAUUUGGAAACGAAUGCUAAUACCGCAUAAAAACUUUAAACACAAGUUUUAAGUUUGAAAGAUGCAAUUGCAUCACUCAAAGAUGAUCCCGCGUUGUAUUAGCUAGUUGGUGAGGUAAAGGCUCACCAAGGCGAUGAUACAUAGCCGACCUGAGAGGGGGAUCGGCCACAGUGGGACUGAGAAACGGCCCAAACUCCUACGGGAGGCAGCAGUAGGGAAUCUUCGGCAAUGGACGAAAGUCUGAACGAGCAACGCCGCGUGAGUGAAGAAGGUUGUCGGAUCGUAAAACUCGGUUGGUAGAGAAGAAAGGUGGUGAGAGUGGAAAGCUCAUCAAGUGACGGUAACUACACAGAAAGGGACGGCUAACUACGUG
rnacentral:rRNA from 1 species